UUUGAUUCAGCUGAUGAUAUAUCUUUUCCCCUAUCAGGCUGACACUGUUGAUCUAAAUAAGCAUUAGCCAGUGUGGUUUGACGCAUUGGA
ensembl:snoRNA